ACCGAUUGUGCUUGGUUCACACAGCUCUGCUGAUGUCUCUGUGCAGUUUGUGACGAUGGGGAUCUGCACUGCGGUGCUGCCCCAUCACUGCUCCUGCUGUCAUUAAAUGUACUUUUCUAUGAUCCAGAUGUCCCACCAAUGUCUUAGCCAUGCAGAGAGGGUGCGGACAGGAUCUUCUAGAAACUAAAGGAGAAACUCUGGCACUGAUAAUUACACUCUUAAGUGGGAUGGCAGUCCUUUUUUCAUUUCAGCAGUGGAGGCAGGUGACAAUCUGCUGAAUUGCAUAUGCUGUAAAGACCAAUACCUCUGUAAGCUUUUCACAAGGCCUGAAAUAGAGCAGACAACCCUUGGAUGAAGUUUUCCUGGAAAGCCACAGGGCCUGAGGUACCACCAGUGGCACAGCCUGAGAGGGGACUGGUCCAGGUGAGCAGGAGUGAUCCUGCACUGGUGUGGUCUGCCCCAUUGAGGCCAGGGCUGCACCCAGCUAUGGGUACUGGGUCGUAUUUAUUAACUUCAGGACUUGGCUCUCGGAUAACAAUAGCAAGGGGUGUUCUGCCAGCCCAGCCAGUGAAUUUAGGGACCCUCACAGGUGACACUAACACCUUGGGACCUGGGGACUUUCACAGGCUGCCCUGAUUACACCUUUCUGGAUAGUGAUGGCUGGCUGCUUUUGGGUAGGCUGGCUGAAGUGUUGGCUCUCAGGUGAACUGUGUGUAGAAAAGUGCCUCUUCUCACCUUGGAGCAGGCCCUGUGCACCAGUGGUGGCCCUCAGUAUACUCCUCUCCCACCAGGGGAUGGAAAGCAUAUGAUGAGAAGACAUUUGAGAGGCAGUUCUUCCAGGAGAGAACCUUGCUCAGACAUAUUGAGCUCCUUAUGUUCCUCCUCUGCAUCCUCGUUCUUCUGGCGCUGCUGCCAGCUAGGAAGAAGAAGCCAGAAAAAUUACAGCCAAAAUUGCGUGGGAGAGUUGUGCCUGGUUGGAAAACUUGCAGCUGUCUGGCACUGACAUGUCUAAUAUCCCCACGCUGGUUGCCACCUACGCCCAGUUACUAGCCCAGUUACCUUGGGGAGAAGUGGUUUGUUCGCAGUGAUGUGUUGGGAACUUGAACAAUGAUACCACCCAAAAGGUGAAUCACAGGGGUUUGAUGGUGUGGAAAUUUCUGAUUGGAAAUCAGGGACUUCUGGCUACGCUCUGUCACCCACCCCACUGGGUGCCACAGGAGCCAUCCUGCAGCCCAGCAGCUCCGCCAGGUGCUGUGGGGACCCAGCUCACCGCACAGGUUGAAGUGUCCUUCGUCCCUUUCCCCAAGCAGAAACAAAGACUUGGGAAGUAAAAACGGUGUCUUCAUUAAGAGACUGCUCCUGCAUACCAGUUUUUAUGAAGCAAUUAUGUUGCGACACCAGACUUCAAAGUAAACUCCUUUGUGUAGCCAGCUCUGAAAAGAGAAAAGAGCUUCUCCCUACAUCUCAGCUGCGUUUUGGACCUGCGCUUCUGAGGGAGCUGCCAACUCUUUUCUUCUAGGCCAUGGAGCUACUUCCUUGAAAAAGUGAGAGCAGAGACCAAUAGCUGCUCCCAUAGAACAUCAAUGAUCACAUAAAGCUUGUGAAUAAACCAGGAAAUGGGAAAAACUCUGUGUUGCUGCCUGAACAGCCUGCAAGUACCUGCUCCAAAUGCCCUCAGAUGGGAGCUUCAUGAACAAUGUCAAAACCCAGUUCUUGAGAUCUACUUACACCAUCUAAUAGUUCUUCAGUAGAACAAAGCUGACAUCUCCAGAUGGCAAAUAUAAACAUCAAAAGAUGGACUGCCACUCAAAGACACGUGGGAAACAUUUGCUAAAGUUAAAUACAGUCUUAGAAGAAUUUCAAUAGCAGAGUAAGAGUUCUUCUGAAUAUGCCAUUAGUAGUGGUGCAAUAGAUUUAGCUGACACGUUGGAGGUGGUGAGACGCACUCAAAUACUUUGCUACCCACAAAAUAGCACUUAUUUUGGGAUUGUUGCAUACUCAGGAAAUCAUACAAUAAAUUAAAGAUAUGAAUGACACAAACUGUACUAUGAAAUGCAGCACACAUUAAAUGACAUACAAAAAACCUCGCACAUGUGCAUGGCUAGAAGAGUAUGUAGGGGAUUCAGCCUUUUUGCUGAGUAAAUAUUAGGGACUUCUACAGUUCUUCAGCAUCUUCUUUUAUAUAAUCAGAUAACUGCAACUACAAAUUCAACUUGAAGACUGACACUUUUACAAUACAAUGGCUUCUCUGUUGCUUCAAACAGCAAUAUACAUGCAACAAAUUAGUUCAGAAAGAAAACACUUUCCAUCAUAUUUGUGUUUGCCUUACAAGCAGAAUGAGAAUCUGCGUAAAGUUCUUCAUAUUUUUUUUAACAGUGAUAUUAGUCUCCUUUAGAUAUGGGCAGGGGUGGGAGGAAAUCUGCCAAAAUCCAUUACACAUUUUGUCUUGGCUGUAGUAAUACAGAGAAGGCAUUCAUUGUGUGCUGGACAGUUCAGACAUCUAAGGAUGGGAGAAAGAGUUCACUCAAUAUAGUGAAUAAUUAGUUUGAACUUUGCCACACUCUCCAAGCAGAAACUGUUUUACAAGUAAAAUAUUUUAUGAAGUUUUCUUAACAGGAAAGAUCCAAAAGGCUCACUUGUCUCUUACACCAGCCUCAACAGAGACAGCUCUUUAUGGUGACUGGUCCUUGCCUCAGACACCAGUUCUGCAAGUCAUACAGUUGCAUCAGGAUCCCACCUCUUUUGGAGGCUUCUCUGCACACAAACUGAGAUUGCCUGUGAAGACCACACCUUCAGGCACUUCGGCCCAAGUCUAAAUAUAGGCACGCUUAAGGGUGUUUUUUCCCCAACAUAAACUAUGGUUUAUUGACAGCAUGGAAGAAACUGCAUCUCUGUUUGCUCCUAAAUCAUGAUUAAAGCAAUUGAUUUUGAAAGGCUGUAACACUAACUAAUGAGGCUUCACUAAGCAGAUCUGCGUGGCUGUGCUCUGCAAAGGAGAUCUGUGGCAGCAGUAAGCCCUAGUAACUGUACUGCAGUUGUGUCAGGGUCCUCUCUGUGAUGCCUGUCUACACUGCAAGACUUAAUGAUAUACAACCGCGGUGUGACGUACAAGGCCACAAUGCUAUGCUGUAGUAGCUAUGUGUUAAUUUGUUUCCCAAGCAGAACAUUUUCUGUGGAGAAAACUGAAUCCACUAAUGUAGCUGCCACACAGAGCAUUUUCAUUUUCAUCGAUUAAUAAGCACAGAGGAGCUGCAGGUGCCGAUGAGUUCAAAAAAUGUGAUCCAUUGAGAUCCCUCCAACUGUAGUUUCAUGAGAGACCGGUUCCAGCAACCAUUCUGGUUAAAGAGGUUCCUGCCCUUGACCUCCAGCUACUGACUCCUGGUCUUACACCGUGGCUCAUCACUCCUGCUGUUGCAUGAGAAGUUAUGCAUCUUUGGCCACAGCACAAUUUAUAGUUUAGCCCUAUAGAGAAUGGUUGCAUGGUCCCAUCUGAGGAGGCUCUGAACUUCAGCACAAGGGUGGGAGCAAUGGGCUGGGCAUGGAUCAGGGCUGGCACUUCUCUAGAAAGCUUCACUGCCAAAGUCAGUAUCUUGGGGAAACUCCAGCUGCAGGUUUAUGAUUCAGCUAAGUCAAACUUACAGCUGAAAGGAGAAAUCACACUCCCCCUCCUGCCUGCCAGCCAUGCUUCCUGCAAGCUUUUUCAUAGGGGUGUACAUCGAACAGUAAAUAAUUCAGUGUAGAAAGACAAACUGACAUAAAACUCAUUGCUUUUUUGCAGGCUUACUUUUCUGCCAUCUGAGCCCUCUGCUCUGACCAGCUGUGGCUCCAAAGAGCACCAGGCCCAGUCAGAAACGCAGAGAGGGGUGCAGUUGGGGAAGGGCUUUCAAAGGCAACUUGCCAUUAUGUUGGCUUAACUGGGUUAGGCCAUUAUCAAAUGGCAUCUCCAUGAUGAGGUGCCGGCCAGACUACCCACAAGUUACACAAGUCACCUUGCAACACCCCCGCAAAAGCUGUGGUACCUCAGCACAGGAAAUAUUCAUGUGGUCACUCCUUUCUGCUUGUCAUUGUCAAGGGGUUUCUUAUUGAGCAAUGCAGCUGUGUUCCUCUUUUGGUAUCUUAGAAGAGGUUUUCUUUCAGGACUCCAAAGUCCUUUCAGAAUGAUUUUAUGAAGGAGGAGCAAUUUAGAUUCACACUCAAUUCCAGAAAUUUCUUCAGCUUAACAUCCUACCUGAUUCAGUUGCAGAACCAUCAAUGAGCACAGCAUGGAGAGUUCAGCAGUUAAAUGAUGGCAGCAGUGAUAAUAAGAGUGCAUAUGGGAAUCCCAGGAAGACCUUAAUCAUCAUCAUUAACAUUUUAUUUUCUGCAUUGCAAUCUCUACUCUGAUGUACCACAAUUUGCUGUAGCAGACUAUUCAAUGCCCAGUGCUGAUAAGAAUCUACAUAAAGAGUAGAAAAGCCAUGAGAAUAAAAGUCAUCAAAAAGGU